rnacentral:tRNA from 1 species
UGAGGUGUAGCUCAGUGGUAGAGCACUAGCCUAGUGUGCAUAAGGCCUUGGGUUGUAUUCCCAGCAUCACAA